UACGUAGGGUGCAAGCGUUGUCCGGAAUUAUUGGGCGUAAAGAGCUCGUAGGCGGUUUGUCGCGUCUGCUGUGAAAACUCGGGGCUUAACCCCGGGCCUGCAGUUGGUACGGGCAGACUAGAGUGCGGUAGGGGAGACUGGAAUUCCUGGUGUAGCGGUGAAAUGCGCAGAUAUCGGGAGGAACACCAGUAGCGAAGGCGGCACUCUGGGCCGGUACUGACGCUGAGGAGCGAAAGCGUGGGGAGCGAACAGG
rnacentral:rRNA from 1 species